UACGGGGGGUAAGCGUUGUUCGGAAUUACUGGGCGUAAAGGGCUCGUAGGCGGCCAACUAAGUCGGACGUGAAAUCCCUCAGCUUAACUGGGGAACUGCGUCCGAUACUGGAUGGCUUGGAUUUGGGAGAGGGAUGCGGAAUUCCAGGUGUAGCGGUGAAUGACGUAGAUAUCUGGAGGAACACCGGUGGCGAAGGCGGCAUCCUGGACCAACAUUGACGCUGAGGAGCGAAAG
rnacentral:rRNA from 1 species